rnacentral:rRNA from 1 species
UACAGAGGGUGCAAGCGUUGUCCGGAUUUACUGGGCGUAAAGCGUUUCGUAGGUGGCUUUUUAAGUUAUCCUUCAAAGAUCAGGGCUCAACCCUGGGAAGGGGGGUAAUACUGGAAGGCUUGAAUUAUAUCGGGGUUUUCGGAACUUACGGUGUAGGGGUGAAAUCCGUUGAUAUCGUAAGGAACACCAAGGGCGAAGGCAGAAAACUAGGUAUAUAUUGACACUGAGGAACGACAGCUAGGGGAGCGAAAUGG